GGCUUUUUGUGCUUCUUCUUCUUCCCACUUUGUCUCCGCCGGAGUCCGGAUCCGCUCCGUGCCAAGCGGGGUCUGCCCGCCCAUCCAUAAGGAUCUAACCCCGUCAGAAGAGGAGCUCCGUGACAUCUCUUCUCCCCACCUAUAGGACUCUGAUCAGCUGCUCGCUGUCACUGAUGCCGGGGCAAGGACUCCCCUCAUCAGCUGCUGUGCGGAGGAGGUUAUAGACUUUGUAUAAUAUGAGCCUCUGAUUACCCGUCCUGUGCUGUUUUAUGCUCUCGGCUUUAUUGUUCUUGGGUGGAGAGUUACCCUCCUGUGACCCAUGGAUGUCUUUAACUGCCUCUCCUGCCAGCAGGCCCUCUGGGACCCUGUAACUGUAAGAUGCGGCCAGUCUUUCUGCAAAAGGUGCUUGCGGGGGCCAGCAGUGGACAGGUGCCACGUUUGCAAGCAGAAGCUGAAGCCCAGGGGUGCCCAGGAGCUGAAAUGUAACACCCUUUUAUGCAACUUGCUGGAGAAGUGCCUGCAGAGCGAAACCAGACUGAACAGGGUGAGAAGCGACCUGCGCGAUCUGCUCUCACUCCAGGACCACGAAGAGGCAGCAAAAGUGGCCUCCAGAGGAGUUGCGAUGGCUGCUUGAAGAUCUUGGUUUUCCGGUGCCUUCAUCUCCUGAAGAGCUGUUAGACGAGGUCUCUCAUUACUUGAAGUCGUCCAGUCCAGACGCCGCUACCCUCAUAGCUCCUCUAAAAGCUGCAUCCAUUGAUUCAUGUGACACAAUAGCGAAUGUGAAGUGAUGUAGGCUUAAAGGUCUUAGAAAGCAGCACAUGAUGCCACAAUCUGAAGAAACUCAAGAGCAAAGAAGAAACAACUGGGAAUCAUCCAAAGCAAUUUCUAAGGCUCUGGGACUCCAGCAAAGCACUGUGAGAGCCAUUAUCUACAAAUGGAGAAAACGAACAAAAAGAACACAAACUCUUGUCUGACAUUUGCCAAAA